rnacentral:rRNA from 1 species
UACAUGGGGUGCAAACGUUGCUCGGAAUCAUUGGGCGUAAAGCGCGCGUAGGCGGUUACUUAUGUCGGGUGUGAAAGCCCUCGGCUUAACUGAGGAAGUGCAUUCGAAACUGGGUAGCUAGAGUACUAAAGAGGGUCGCGGAAUUCCCGGUGUAGAGGUGAAAUUCGUAGAUAUCGGGAGGAACACCGGUGGCGAAGGCGGCGACCUGGGUAGAUACUGACGCUGAGGCGCGAAAGCGUGGGGAGCAAACAGG